rnacentral:rRNA from 1 species
GAUGGCUUAGUGCUCGAAAGAGAGCCGUAACACAGGUGCUGCAUGGCUGUCGUCAGCUCGUGUCGUGAGAUGUUGGGUUAAGUCCCGCAACGAGCGCAACCCUUGUCAUUAGUUGCUACAUUCAGUUGGGCACUCUAAUGAGACUGCCGGUGACAAACCGGAGGAAGGUGGGGAUGACGUCAAGUCCUCAUGGCCCUUAUAGGUGGGGCUACACACGUCAUACAAUGGCUGGUACAAAGGGUUGCCAACCCGCGAGGGGGAGCUAAUCCCAUAAAACCAGUCGUAGUCCGGAUCGCAGUCUGCAACUCGACUGCGUGAAGUCGGAAUCGCUAGUAAUCGUGGAUCAGAAUGUCACGGUGAAUACGUUCCCGGGUCUUGUACACACCGCCCGUCACACCAUGGGAGCGGGUUCUGCCAGAAGUAGUUAGCCUAACCGCAAGGAGGGCGAUUACCACGGCAGGGUUCGUGACUGGGGUGAAGUCGUAACAAGGUAGC